AUUAGUUUUUUAAUUGAAGGCUAGAAUGAAUGGUUGGACAAGAAAUAAUCUGUCUUAAAUUAAUAUAUUGAAUUUAACUUUUAAGUGAAAAGGCUUAAAUAAUCUGAAGGGACGAUAAGACCCUAUAAAACUUUAUAUUUAAGAAUGAUUAAUGAGUUUUGUUUNUAAGGUUAUUAUUUUUGAGAUAUUUGGUUGGGGCGACAAGAAUAGAAGAAAAAGUAACUGUUUUUUUUUAUAACAAAAAUGUUUGGGUUAAUGAUCCUAAAAUGGAUUNAAAGAUUAAGUUACUUUAGGGAUAACAGCGUAAUUUUCUUUAAGAGUUCUUAUCAAUAAGAAAGUUUGCGACCUCGAUGUUGAAUUAAAGGUUCUUUA
rnacentral:rRNA from 1 species